rnacentral:tRNA from 1 species
GGCCGUGUGGCCUAAUGGAUAAGGUGUCGGUCUCCUUAACCGAAGACUGCAGGUUCGAGUCCUGCCUCGGUCG